rnacentral:rRNA from 1 species
GACGAACCGAGCGAACGUUGUUCGGAAUCACUGGGCUUAAAGGGCGCGUAGGCGGGCGGUCAAGUCGAGGGUGAAAGCCCCCAGCUCAACUGGGGAAGUGCCUCCGAUACUGGCCGUCUCGAGGGGGAUAGGGGCGUGCGGAACUUCCGGUGGAGCGGUGAAAUGCGUAGAUAUCGGAAGGAACAUCGGUGGCGAAAGCGGCGCGCUGGAUCCCUUCUGACGCUGAGGCGCGAAAGCCAGGGGAGCGGAAC